UUAACCCUGGUAUAGGGGUACAUGCUGGGAUACAGCAGUCUGUGUUAACCCUGGUAGAGGGGUACAUGCUGGGAUACAGCAGACUAUGUUAACCCUGGUAGAGGGGUACAUGCUGGGAUACAGCAGUCUGUGUUAACCCUGGUAUAGGGGUACGUGUUUAGGUACAGGAGACUGUGUUAACCCUGGUAGAGGGGUACAUGCUGGGAUACAGAAGACUGUGUUAACCCUGUUAGAGGGGUACAUGUUUAGGUACAGGAGACUGUGUUAACCCUGAUAUAGGGUACCUGUUUAGGUACAGGAGACUGUGUUAACCCUGAUAUAAGGGUACAUGUUUAGGUACAGGAGACUGUGUUAACCCUGGUAGAGGGGUACAUGCUGGGAUACAGAAGACUGUGUUAACCCUGUUAGAGGGGUACAUGUUUAGGUACAGGAGACUGUGUUAACCCUGAUAUAGGGUACCUGUUUAGGUACAGGAGACUGUGUUAACCCUGAUAUAAGGGUACAUGUUUAGGUACAGGAGACUGUGUUAACCCUGGUAUUGGGGUACAUGUUUAGGUACAGGAGACUGUGUUAACCCUGAUAUAGGGGUACAUGUUUAGGUACAGGAGACUGUGUUAACCCUGGUAUUGGGGUACGUGUUAAGGUACAGGAGACUGUGUUAACCCUGGUAUUGGGGUACGUGUUAAGGUACAGGAGACUGUGUUAACCCUGGUAUUGGGUACAUGUUUAGGUACAGGAAACUGUGUUAACCCUGGUAUUGGGGUACAUGUUUAGGUACAGGAGACUGUGUUAACCCUGGUAUUGGGGUACAUGUUUAGGUACAGGAGACUGUGUUAACCCUGGUAUUGGGGUACAUGUUUAGAUACAGGAGACUGUGUUAACCCUGGUAUUGGGGUACGUGUUAAGGUACAGGAGACUGUGUUAACCCUGGUAUUGGGGUACAUGUUUAGGUACAGGAGACUGUGUUAACCAUGAUAUAGGGGUACAUGUUUAGGUACAGGAGACUGUGUUAACCCUGGUAUUGGGGUACGUGUUUAGGUACAGGAGACUGUGUUAACCCUGAUAUAAGGGUACAUGUUUAGGUACAGGAGACUGUGUAAACCCUGGUAUUGGGGUACAUGUUUAGGUACAGGAGACUGUGUUAACCCUGGUAUUGGGGUACAUGUUUAGGUACAGGAGACUGUGUUAACCCUGAUAUAGGGGUACAUGUUUAGGUACAGGAGACUGUGUUAACCCUGAUAUAGGGGUACAUGUUUAGGUACAGUGGGCAGUGUUUACUCUGAUACAUGAGUAUGUCUGAAGGUGUACACCAGGAGAUAGGGGUGCAUCUGGGGAUACAGGAGGCUGCGUUAACUCAACCUAAUGCUGGGUACAUCUCGGUGUACAGGCGUGUGUUGACCCGGAGAUAGGGGUGCAUCUGGGGAUGCAAGCUUGUGUUGACUUGGCAUAGAGGUACAUAUGGGGGUACGGUGCACUAGUUGGUUGGUUUGUUGAUCCAGUGAUCAACAGCAUGAGCAUCGAUUUAGGCAAUUAGGAUAC